AGAGUUUGAUCAUGGCUCAGAGUGAACGCUGGCGGCAGGCCUAACACAUGCAAGUCGAACGGUAGCACAGAGGAGCUUGCUCCUUGGGUGACGAGUGGCGGACGGGUGAGGAAUAUAUCGGAAUCUACCCUUUCGUGGGGGAUAACGUAGGGAAACUUACGCUAAUACCGCAUACGAACUGAGGUUGAAAGCGGCGGACCGCAAGGCGUCGCGCGGAUGGAUGAGCCGAUAUCCGAUUAGCUAGUUGGCGGGGUAAUGGCCCACCAAGGCGACGAUCGGUAGCUGGUCUGAGAGGAUGAUCAGCCACACUGGAACUGAGACACGGUCCAGACUCCUACGGGAGGCAGCAGUGGGGAAUAUUGGACAAUGGGCGCAAGCCUGAUCCAGCCAUGCCGCGUGUGUGAAGAAGGCCUUCGGGUUGUAAAGCACUUUUGUUGGGAAAGAAAAGCGGUCGGUUAAUACCCGGUCGUUCUGACGGUACCCAAAGAAUAAGCACCGGCUAACUUCGUGCCAGCAGCCGCGGUAAUACGAAGGGUGCAAGCGUUACUCGGAAUUACUGGGCGUAAAGCGUGCGUAGGUGGUUUGUUAAGUCAGAUGUGAAAGCCCCGGGCUCAACCUGGGAAUUGCAUUUGAUACUGGCAGACUAGAGUGCGGUAGAGGAGAGUGGAAUUCCCGGUGUAGCAGUGAAAUGCGUAGAGAUCGGGAGGAACAUCAGUUGCGAAGGC
rnacentral:rRNA from 1 species